rnacentral:pre_miRNA from 1 species
GUAGAGUCUUUAAGACUGCAGCUGCUGAUAUAUAUAUCCGUAAUAUUGUCUUGGUAAUAUAUAUAUCGUCCGCUGUAUAUUGAUCGCCACGACUGAUAUAUAUACAGUUAAAUUGUCUUGAUAUAUAUUCGACAGUGUAUAUACCACCUGCCGCAGUCUUAAAGACCCUGC